rnacentral:rRNA from 1 species
GACGAACGCUGGCGGCGUGCUUAACACAUGCAAGUCGAACGGAAAGGCCCUGCUUGCAGGGUGCUCGAGUGGCGAACGGGUGAGUAACACGUGGGUGAUCUGCCCCUUACUUUGGGCUACGCCUGGGAAACUGGGUCUAAUACUGGAUAGGACCAUGCUGUAGGUGGUGUGGUGGAGAGAUUGGUUUCGGUAAGGGAUGAGCUCGCGGCCUAUCGGCUUGUUGGUGGGGUAAUGGCCUACCAAGGCGUCGACGGGUAGCCGGCCUGAGAGGGUGGACGGCCACAUUGGGACUGAGAUACGGCCCAGACUCCUACGGGAGGCAGCAGUGGGGAAUAUUGGACAAUGGGCGCAAGCCUGAUGCAGCGACGCCGCGUGGGGGAUGACGGCCUUCGUGUUGUAAACUCCUUGCAGCCAUGGCGAAGCCCUUGUGGUGACGGUAGUGGUAGAAGAAGCACCGGCUAACUACGUG